rnacentral:lncRNA from 1 species
AAUAGUUUUGAUAUAAUGAAAAUCUGUCUAAGAAUAAGAGCUACCACCAAGUGGAAUGGACUACUUUCAGAAGGCAGCAUCCUCACUCCUCCCCCUUAUUAGAUAUCUUCAAUGAAAGAUAUCAAAUUCCUCCUCAGGUUCAGAGAAGUUAACCCUUUAAUCAUCAUGAUGAAUAAAAGUUCCACAGAUUUAUUAAUAACCACUUGAAGGAGAAGAA